rnacentral:rRNA from 1 species
GAUGAACGCUGGCGGCGUGCCUAAUACAUGCAAGUCGAGCGAACGGACGAGAAGCUUGCUUCUCUGAUGUUAGCGGCGGACGGGUGAGUAACACGUGGAUAACCUACCUAUAAGACUGGGAUAACUUCGGGAAACCGGAGCUAAUACCGGAUAAUAUUUUGAACCGCAUGGUUCAAAAGUGAAAGACGGUCUUGCUGUCACUUAUAGAUGGAUCCGCGCUGCAUUAGCUAGUUGGUAAGGUAACGGCUUACCAAGGCAACGAUGCAUAGCCGACCUGAGAGGGUGAUCGGCCACACUGGAACUGAGACACGGUCCAGACUCCUACGGGAGGCAGCAGUAGGGAAUCUUCCGCAAUGGGCGAAAGCCUGACGGAGCAACGCCGCGUGAGUGAUGAAGGUCUUCGGAUCGUAAAACUCUGUUAUUAGGGAAGAACAUAUGUGUAAGUAACUGUGCACAUCUUGACGGUACCUAAUCAGAAAGCCACGGCUAACUACGUGCCAGCAGCCGCGGUAAUACGUAUGUGGCAAGCGUUAUCCGGAAUUAUUGGGCGUAAAGCGCGCGUAGGCGGUUUUUUAAGUCUGAUGUGAAAGCCCACGGCUCAACCGUGGAGGGUCAUUGGAAACUGGAAAACUUGAGUGCAGAAGAGGAAAGUGGAAUUCCAUGUGUAGCGGUGAAAUGCGCAGAGAUAUGGAGGAACACCAGUGGCGAAGGCGACUUUCUGGUCUGUAACUGACGCUGAUGUGCGAAAGCGUGGGGAUCAAACAGGAUUAGAUACCCUGGUAGUCCACGCCGUAAACGAUGAGUGCUAAGUGUUAGGGGGUUUCCGCCCCUUAGUGCUGCAGCUAACGCAUUAAGCACUCCGCCUGGGGAGUACGACCGCAAGGUUGAAACUCAAAGGAAUUGACGGGGACCCGCACAAGCGGUGGAGCAUGUGGUUUAAUUCGAAGCAACGCGAAGAACCUUACCAAAUCUUGACAUCCUUUGACAACUCUAGAGAUAGAGCCUUCCCCUUCGGGGGACAAAGUGACAGGUGGUGCAUGGUUGUCGUCAGCUCGUGUCGUGAGAUGUUGGGUUAAGUCCCGCAACGAGCGCAACCCUUAAGCUUAGUUGCCAUCAUUAAGUUGGGCACUCUAAGUUGACUGCCGGUGACAAACCGGAGGAAGGUGGGGAUGACGUCAAAUCAUCAUGCCCCUUAUGAUCUGGGCUACACACGUGCUACAAUGGACAAUACAAAGGGCAGCGAAACCGCGAGGUCAAGCAAAUCCCAUAAAGUUGUUCUCAGUUCGGAUUGUAGUCUGCAACUCGACUACACGAAGCUGGAAUCGCUAGUAAUCGUAGAUCAGCAUGCUACGGUGAAUACGUUCCCGGGUCU